CGAGCUCACUCAAUUGAUCACCACCCCUCUCUCUCCCUCCGUGAGCCUCCCAUAGCAGUAGAACGACUGGAGGAGGUCGUCUUCCCCAACUCCGACAACCACGGCCACCGCAUCUGUCUCGUUCAUUCCGACGACACCAGGGCCUCCCCCUCUCCACUCUCUUCACCACUAGCCUCCUGGACCUCCCUCUGAUCCACUUCCCCUUCCAAUUUGGCCUGGGAGCCGCCGGAGGAAAGAGCCCCACCCUGCCCGACAGCCACCGUCCGUUGUGGAGCUCGCCGGCGGCGACUCCGUACACCCCAGGGACGAUGGCAACCACCGGAGGGACCGCCUCGACCCCCUGAGCCCGCGGACGGCCUUGGUUUCUCGAACGGUGCCGCUGUUUGCCGGCGAGCCUCAUCGGAGCCCCGCCUCUGUUCUGCCGAAGAGGGAAGCGCGUGCGGCGACUGGUCAAAAUCGACCAGUGGGCCAGGCGGGCCCACUGUCAGUGUCCCAGCGCCGCUGACCCGCCCGUAAGAGGAGGCGAACUCCGUUUAGCCGCCUUCGCGCGUGUAAGACGUACCAGGCGAUUACGCCUUCAACGUCAUCAACUCUUCCUCGCGGCUGAGCAGCUGGGCUCGGCCCAGUAACGCCAGACAGCUAAACGUUGCCCAGGGUACAUCUUUGCACUUUCAUAUUUUCUUUUCCAGCGGAUUUCAAAUAAAUCCACAGCAGCCAUUUCGCAUUCAAAUUCGAUGAUUCAAAUUUCUACCUACUCCUAAAAUCAUGCUCUAUUGAUCCAGAUAGGGUGAACAUUUUUCCUAGGUCUUUUUUUUGUGGGAUCUACUGAAUAGUCCUUUUCCUUUAAUAUUCCAGCUUAGUAAAUCCAUAGAAAAAUCAUAUAAACUCCAAAUGACUUUAUUCUUUUUCUUUUAUUUCUCAAAUUCCAUCUAGUUUAUUUUAGUAUUUAUUUCACAAAUUUCCAAACAACGUUUAUGUACUGUUUUGGAAUUGUGUGGUAAUUAAAAUAUUUUGAAAAUAGGAAAUGGAGGGGAGAUAUAAUUUUCAAAGUUUUGGAGUGCACCCAAUCUUUCUGCAUGCUCAAGGCAAGCAUCUUGAACACGUGAUAUGGUGAAUGCAUAUUUGUUUGCUUGCAUGUAGAAUUGAAUUAUGAAUAUGUUGGAUUCAUGUAGAAUUUGCAAAGCACUAGUCAUACAUGCAUGAUCACUUUGAUGGUGUUUUAUCUUCAGUUAAACAUGAAGCAUAAGUGAGUAUGGUUAUUUUCAUGUGCAAUAUGUGCCUGUGUUGGUCCAGGCUAAUUUGCAGGAAGAAUCAGUCACGAGAAAAGUGACCGUGAUACUGAAAUCUCGUUGUGACGAGAAUGAUCAGUGGGGGUAUGAUGAUGUUGGGCAACGUAGUAAUUUCAAAAAAUUUCCUACGCACACGCAAGAUCAUGGUGAUGCAUAGCAACGAGAGGGGAGAGUGUUGUCCACGUACCCUCGUAGACCGACAGUGGAAGCGUUAUCACAACGCGGUUGAUGUAGUCGUACGUCUUCACGAUCCGACCGAUCAAGUACCGAACGCACGGCAACUCCGAGUUCUGCACACGUUCAGCUCGAUGACGUCCCUCGAACUCCGAUCCAGCCGAGUGUUGAGGGAGAGUUUCGUCAGCACGACGGCGUGGUGACGAUGAUGAUGUUCCACCGAUGCAGGGCUUCGCCUAAGCUCCGCAACGGUAUUAUCGAGGUGUAAUAUGGUGGAGGGGGGCACCGCACACGGCUAAAAUAUCGUAUAUCAAGUGUGUAUAAAGGUGCCCCCCUGCCCCCGUAUAUAAAGGAGCAAGGGGGAGGCCGGCUGCCCUAGGCGCGCCAAGGAGAGGGGGGGGAGUCCUCCUCCUAGUAGGAGCAGGACUCCCCUUUCCUAGUCCAACUAGGAAAAGAAGGGGGAAGGAAAGAGAGGGAGAGGGAGAGGGAAAGGGGGCUGUGCCCCCCUCUCCUAGUCCAACUAGGAUUCCUCCUAGGAGGGGGCGCACCACCUCCUGGCUGCUGCCCUCUCUCUCCCCUCAAGGCCCACUAAGGCCCAAUACUUCCCCGGGGGGUUCCGGUAACCCUCCGGCACUCCGGUUUAAUCCGAAACUUCUCCGAAACACUUCCGGUGUCCGAAUAUAGUCGUCCAAUAUAACAAUCUUUAUGUCUCGACCAUUUCGAGACUCCUCGUCAUGUCCGUGAUCACAUCUGGGACUCCGAACAACCUUCGGUACAUCAAAACAUAUAAACUCAUAAUAUAACUGUCAUCGUAACGUUAAGCGUGCGGACCCAUCGGGUUCGAGAACUAUGUAGACAUGACCGAGACACCUCUCCGGUCAAUAACCAAUAGCGGAACCUGGAUGCUCAUAUUGGUUCCCACAUAUUCUAUGAAGAUCUUUAUCGGUCAAACCGCAUAACAACAUACGUUGUUCCCUUUGUCAUCGGUGUGUUACUUGCCCGAGAUUCGAUCGUCGGUAUCUCGAUACCUAGUUCAAUCUCGUUACCGGCAAGUCUCUUUACUCGUUCCAUAAUACAUCAUCCCGCAACUAUAUCAUUAGUCACAAUGCUUGCAAGGCUUAUAGUGAUGUGCAUCACCGAGUGGGCCCAGAGAUACCUCUCCGACAAUCGGAGUGACAAAUCCUAAUCUCGAAAUACGCCAACCCAACAAGUACCUUUGGAGACACCUGUAGAGCACCUUUAUAAUCACCCAUUUACGUUGUGACGUUUGGUAGCACACAAAGUGUUCCUCCGGUAAACGGGAGUUGCAUAAUCUCAUAGUCAUAGGAACAUGUAUAAGUUAUGAAGAAAGCAAUAGCAACAUACUAAACGAUCGGGUGCUAAGCUAACGGAAUGGGUCAUGUCAAUCACGUCAUUGUCCUAAUGAGGUGAUCCCGUUAAUCAAAUGACAACUCAUGUCUAUGGCUAGGAAACAUAACCAUCUUUGAUUAACAAGCUAGUCAAGUAGAGGCAUACUAGUGACACUCUGUUUGUCUAUGUAUUCACACAUGUAUUAUGUUUCCGGUUAAUACAAUUCUAGCAUCAAUAAUAAACAUUUAUCAUGAUAUAAGGAAAUAUAUAAUACUUUAUUAUUGCCUCUAGGGAAUAUUUCCUUCAGUCUCCCACUUGCACUAGAGUAAAUAAUCUAGAUUACAUAGUAAUGAUUCUUACACCCAUGGAGUCUUGGUGCUAAUCAUGUUUUGCUCGUGGAAGAGGCUUAGUCAACGGGUCUGCAACAUUCAGAUCCGUAUGUAUCUUGCAAAUUUCUAUGUCUCCCACCUGGACUAAAUCCCGGAUGGAAUCGAAGCGUCUUCUGAUGUGCUUGGUUCUCUUGUGAAAUCUGGAUUCCUUUGCUAAGGCAAUUGCACCAGUAUUGUCACAAAAGAUUUUCAUUGGUCCCGAUGUACUAGGUAUGACACCUAGAUCGGAUAUGAACUCCUUCAUCCAGACUCCUUCAUUUGCUGCUUCCGAAGCAGCUAUGUAUUCCGCUUCACACGUAGAUCCCGCCAUGACACUUUGCUUAGAACUGCACCAACUGAUAGCUCCACCGUUCAAUGUAAAUACGUAUCCGGUUUGCGAUUUCGAAUCGUCCGGAUCAGUGUCAAAGCUUGCAUCAACGUAACCACUUACGAUGAGCUCUUUGUCACCUCCAUAAACGAGAAACAUAUCCUUAGUCCUUUUCAGGUAUUUCAGGAUGUUCUUGACCGCUGUCCAGUGAUCCACUCCUGGAUUACUUUGGUACCUUCCUGCUAAACUUAUAGCAAGGGACACAUCAGGUCUGGUACACAGCAUUGCAUACAUGAUAGAGCCUAUGGCUGAAGCAUAGGGAACAUCUUUCAUCUUCUCUCUAUCUUCUGCAGUGGUCGGGCAUUGAGUCUUACUCAAUCUCACACCUUGUAGUACAGGCAAGAACCCUUUCUUUGCUUGAUCCAUUUUGAACUUCUUCAAAACUUUGUCAAGGUAUGUGCUUUGUGAAAGUCCAAUUAAGCGUCUGGAUCUAUCUCUAUAGAUCUUAAUGCCUAAUAUAUAUGCAGCUUCACCGAGGUCUUUCAUUGAAAAACUCUUAUUCAAGUAUCCCUUUAUGCUAUCCAGAAAUUCUAUAUCAUUUCCAAUCAGUAAUAUGUCAUCCACAUAUAAUAUCAGAAAUGCUAUCGAGCUCCCACUCACUUUCUUGUAAAUACAGGCUUCUCCAAAAGUCUGUAUAAAACCAAAUGCUUUGAUCACACUAUCAAAGCGUUUAUUCCAACUCCGAGAGGCUUGCACCAGUCCAUAAAUGGAUCGCUGGAGCUUGCACACUUUGUUAGCUCCCUUUGGAUCGACAAAACCUUCCGGUUGCAUCAUAUACAACUCUUCUUCCAGAAAUCCAUUCAGGAAUGCAGUUUUGACAUCCAUUUGCCAAAUUUCAUAAUCGUAAAAUGCGGCAAUUGCUAACAUGAUUCGGACAGACUUAAGCAUCGCUACGGGUGAGAAGGUCUCAUCGUAGUCAAUCCCUUGAACUUGUCGAAAACCUUUCGCAACAAGUCGAGCUUUAUAGACAGUAACAUUACCAUCAGCGUUAGUCUUCUUCUUGAAGAUCCAUUUAUUUUCAAUGGAUUGCCGACCAUCGGGCAAGUCAACCAAAGUCCAUACUUUGUUCUCAUACAUGGAUCCCAUCUCGGAUUUCAUGGCUUCAAGCCAUUUUGCAGAAUCUGGGCUCACCAUCGCUUCUUCAUAGUUCGUAGGUUCGUCAUGGUCUAGUAACAUGACCUCCAGAACAGGAUUGCCGUACCACUCUGGUGCGGAUCUUGAUCUAGUUGACCUACGAGGUUCAGUAAUAACUUGAUCUGAAGUUUCACGAUCAUUAUCAUUAACUUCCUCACUAAUUGGUGUAGGUGUCGCAGAAACUGAUUUCUGCGAUGAUCUACUUUCCAAUAAGGGGGCAGGUACAGUUACCUCAUCAAGUUCUACUUUCCUCCCACUCACAUCUUUCGAGAGAAACUCCUCCUCUAGAAAGGAUCCAUUCUUAGCAACGAAUAUCUUGCCUUCGGAUCUGUGAUAGAAGGUAUACCUAACAGUCUCCUUUGGGUAUCCUAUGAAGACACAUUUCUUCGAUUUAGGUUCGAGCUUAUCAGGUUGAAGUUUCUUCACAUAAGCAUCGCAACCCCAAACUUUAAGAUACGACAACUUUGGUUUCUUGCCAAACCAUAGUUCAUAAGGCGUCGUCUCAACGGAUUUCUAUGGUGUCCUAUUUAGAGUGAAUGCAGCCGUCUCUAAAGCAUAACCCCAAAACGAUAGCGGUAAAUCAGUAAGAGACAUCAUAGAUCGCACCAUAUCUAAUAAAGUACGAUUACGACGUUCGGACACACCAUUACGCUGUGGUGUUCCGGGCGGAGUGAGUUGCGAAACUAUUCCGCAUUGUUUCAAAUGUAGGCCAAACUCGUAACUCAAAUAUUCUCCUCCAUGAUCAGAUCGUAGGAAUUUUAUUUUCUUGUUACGAUGAUUUUCAACUUCACUCUGAAAUUCUUUGAACUUUUCAAAUGUUUCAGACUUAUGUUUUAUUAAGUAGAUAUACCCAUAUCUGCUCAAAUCAUCUGUGAAGGUGAGAAAAUAACGAUAUCCGCCACGAGCCUCAAUAUUCAUCGGACCACAUACAUCUGUAUGUAUGAUUUCCAACAAAUCUGUUGCUCUCUCCAUAGUUCCGGAGAAUGGUGUUUUGGUCAUCUUGCCUAUGAGGCACGGUUCGCAAGUACCAAGUGAUUCAAAAUCAAGUGAUUCCAAAAUUCCAUCAGUAUGGAGUUUCUUCAUGCGCUUUACACCGAUAUGACCCAAACGGCAGUGCCACAAAUAAGUUGCACUGUCAUUAUCAACUCUGCAUCUUUUGGCUUCGACAUUAUGAAUAUGUGUAUCACUACUAUCGAGAUUCAUUAAAAAUAGACCACUCUUCAAGGGUGCAUGACCAUAAAAGAUAUUAUUCAUAUAAAUAGAACAACCAUUAUUCUCUGAUUUAAAUGAAUAAUCGUCUCGCAUUAAACAAGAGCCAGAUAUAAUGUUCAUGCUCAACGCUGGCACCAAAUAAUAAUUAUUUAGGUCUAAAACCUAUCCCGAAGGUAGAUGUAGAGGUAGCGUGCCGACGGCGAUCACAUCGACUUUGGAACCAUUUCCCACGCGCAUCGUCACCUCAUCCUUAGCCAAUCUUCGCUUAAUCCGUAGCCCCUGUUUCGAGUUGCAAAUAUUAGCAACAGAACCAGUAUCAAAUACCCAGGUGCUACUGCGAGUAUUAGUAAGGUACACAUCAAUAACAUGUAUAUCACAUAUACCUUUGUUAACCUUGCCAUCCUUCUUAUCCGCCAAAUACUUGGGGCAGUUCCGCUUCCAGUGACCAGUCUGCUUACAGUAGAAGCACUCAGUUUCAGGCUUAGGUCCAGACUUGGAUUUCUUCUCCUGAACAGCAACUUGCUUGUUCUUCUUCUUGAAGUUCCCUUUCUUCUUCCCUUUGCCCUUUUUCUUGAAACUAGUGGUUUUACUGACCAUCAACACUUGAUGCUCCUUUUUGAUUUCUACCUCCGCUGCCUUUAGCAUUGCGAAGAGCUCGGGAAUUGUCUUAUCCAUCCCUUGCAUGUUAUAGUUCAUCACGAAGCUCUUGUAGCUUGGUGGCAGUGAUUGACGAAUUCUGUCAAUGACGCAAUCAUCCGGAAGUUGAACUCCCAGUUGAAUCAAGUGAUUAUUAUACCCAGACAUUCUGAGUAUAUGCUCACUGACAGAACUAUUCUCUUCCAUUUUGCAGCUAUAGAACUUAUUGGAGACUUCAUAUCUCUCAAUCCGGGCAUUUGCUUGAAAUAUUAACUUCAACUCCUGGAACGUCUCAUAUGCUCCAUGACGUUCAAAACGUCGUUGAAGACCCGGUUCUAAGCCGUAAAGCAUGGCACACUGAACUAUUGAGUAGUCAUCAGCUUUGCUCUGCCAGACGUUCAUAACUUCUGGUGUUGCUCUUGCAGGAGGCCUGGCACCUAGCGGUGCUUCCAGGACGUAAUUCUUCUAUGCAACAAUGAGGAUAAUCCUCAAAUUACGGACCCAGUCCGUGUAAUUGCUACCAUCAUCUUUCAACUUAGCUUUCUCAAGGAACGCAUUAAAAUUCAACGGAACAACAGCACGGGCCAUUUAUCUACAAUUAACAUAGACAAAGCAAGAUACUAUCAGGUACUAAGUUCAUGAUAAAUUUAAGUUCAAUUAAUCAUAUUACUUAAGAACUCCCACUUAGAUAGAUAUCCCUCUAAUCAUCUAAGUGAUUACGUGAUCCAAAUCAACUAAACCAUGUCCGAUCAUCACGUGAGAUGGAGUAGUUUCAAUGGUGAACAUCACUAUGUUGAUCAUAUCUACUAUAUGAUUCACGCUCGACCUUUAGGUCUCCGUGUUCCGAGGCCAUAUCUGCAUAUGCUAGGCUCGUCAAGUUUAACCUGAGUAUUCCGCGUGUGCAACUGUUUUGCACCCGUUGUAUUUGAACGUAGAGCCUAUCACACCCGAUCAUCACGUGGUGUCUCAGCACGAAGAACUUUCGCAACGGUGCAUACUCAGGGAGAACACUUUUAUCUUGAAAUUUUAGUGAGAGAUCAUCUUAUAAUGCUACCGUCAAUCAAAGCAAGAUAAGAUGCAUAAAGGAUUAACAUCACAUGCAAUCAAUAUAAGUGAUAUGAUAUGGCCAUCAUCAUCUUGUGCUUGUGAUCUCCAUCUCCGAAGCACCGUGUUCGUGAUCUCCAUCUCCGAAGCACCGUCAUGAUCACCAUCGUCACCGGCGCGACACCUUGAUCUCCAUCAUAGUAUCGUUGUCGUCUCGCCAACUAAUUGCUUUUACGACUAUCGCUACCGCUUAGUGAUAAAGUAAAACUAUUACAUGGUGAUUGCAUCUCAUACAAUAAAGCGACAACCAUAUGGCUCCUGCCAAUUGCCGAUAACUCGGUUACAAAACAUGAUCAUCUCAUACAACAAAUUAUAUCACAUCAUGUCUUGACCAUAUCACAUCACAACAUGCCCUGCAAAAACAAGUUAGACGUCCUCUACUUUGUUGUUGCAAGUUUUACGUGGCUGCUACGGGCUUAGCAAGAACCGUUCUUACCUACGCAUCAAAACCACAACGAUAGUUUGUCAAGUUGGUGCUGUUUUAACCUUCGCAAGGACCGGGCGUAGCCACACUCGGUUCAACUAAAGUGAGAGAGACAGACACCCGCCGGUCACCUUUAAGCAACGAGUGCUCGCAACGGUGAAACCAGUCUCGCGUAAGCGUACGCGUAAUGUCGGUCCGGGCCGCUUCAUCUCACAAUACCGCUGAACCAAAGUAUGACAUGCUGGUAAGCAGUAUGACUUAUAUCGCCCACAAAUCACUUGUGUUCUACUCGUGCAUAGCAUCAACGCAUAAAACCAGGCUCGGAUGCCACUGUUGGGCAACGUAGUAAUUUCAAAAUUUUCCUACGCACACGCAAGAUCAUGGUGAUGCAUAGCAACGAGAGGGGAGAGUGUUGUCCACGUACCCUCAUAGACCGACAGCGGAAGCGUUAUCACAACGCGGUUGAUGUAGUCGUACGUCUUCACGAUCCGACCGAUCAAGUACCGAACGCACGGCACCUCCGAGUUCUACACACGUUCAGCUCGGUGACGUCCCUCGAACUCCGAUCCAGCCGAGUGUUGAGGGAGAGUUUCGUCAGCACGACGACAUGGUGACGAUGAUGAUGUUCCACCGACGCAGGGCUUCGCCUAAGCUCCGCAACGGUAUUAUCGAGGUGUAAUAUGGUGGAGGGGGGCACCGCACACGGCUAAAAUAUCGUAUAUCAAGUGUGUAUAGAGGUGCCCCCUGCCCCCGUAUAUAAAGGAGCAAGGGGGAGGCCGGCUGCCCUAGGCGCGCCAAGGAGAGGGGGGGAGUCCUCCUCCUAGUAGGAGUAGGACUCCCCUUUCCUAGUCCAACUAGGAAAAGAAGGGGGAAGGAAAGAGAGGGAGAGGGAGAGGGAAAGGGGGCUGCGCCCCCCUCUCCUAGUCCAACUAGGAUUCCUCCUGGGAGGGGGCGCACCACCUCCUGGCUGCUGCCCUCUCUCUCCCCUCAAGGCCCACUAAGGCCCAAUACUUCCCCGGGGGGUUCCAGUAACCCUCCGGCACUCCGGUUUAAUCCGAAACUUCUCCGGAACACUUCCGGUGUCCGAAUAUAGUCGUCCAAUAUAUCAAUCUUUAUGUCUCGACCAUUUCGAGACUCCUCGUCAUGUCCGUGAUCACAUCUGGGACUCUGAACAACCUUCGGUACAUCAAAACAUAUAAACUCAUAAUAUAACUGUCAUCGUAACGUUAAGCGUGCGGACCCUUCGGGUUCGAGAACUAUGUAGACAUGACCGAGACACCUCUCCGGUCAAUAACCAAUAGCGGAACCUGGAUGCUCAUAUUGGUUCCCACAUAUUCUACGAAGAUCUUUAUCGGUCAAACCGCAUAACAACAUACGUUGUUCCCUUUGUCAUCGGUAUGUUACUUGCCCGAGAUUCGAUCGUCGGUAUCUCGAUACCUAGUUCAAUCUCGUUACCGGCAAGUCUCUUUACUCGUUCCAUAAUACAUCAUCCCGCAACUAUCUCAUUAGUCACAAUGCUUGCAAGGCUUAUAGUGAUGUGCAUUACCGAGUGGGCCCAGAGAUACCUCUCCGACAAUCGGAGUGACAAAUCCUAAUCUCGAAAUACGCCAACCCAACAAGUACCUUUGGAGACACCUGUAGAGCACCUUUAUAAUCACCCAUUUACGUUGUGAUGUUUGGUAGCACACAAAGUGUUCCUCCGGUAAACGGGAGUUGCAUAAUCUCAUAGUCAUAGGAACAUGUAUAAGUUAUGAAGAAAGCAAUAGCAACAUACUAAACGAUCGGGUGCUAAGCUAACGGAAUGGGUCAUGUCAAUCACGUCAUUCUCCUAAUGAGGUGAUCCCGUUAAUCAAAUGACAACUCAUGUCUAUGGCUAGGAAACAUAACCAUCUUUGAUUAACGAGCUAGUCAAGUAGAGGCAUGCUAGUGACACUCUGUUUGUCUAUGUAUUCACACAUGUAUUAUGUUUCCGGUUAAUACAAUUCUAGCAUGAAUAAUAAACAUUUAUCAUGAUAUAAGGAAAUAUAUAAUACUUUAUUAUUGCCUCUAGGGCAUAUUUCCUUCAGUUGAGACAUACCAGGUGGUGACCAUGUUGGGUAGUACCAAGGAGUUAUAUUGUGCUAACCACUGCAGGAAAAGUUAAACCUCCUGAGUUGACCGUAGAUCGAGUCUUGUUCCGGUAACCCCCAUACUGGUUCGUGCUACCACUUGUCCCCGCCACAGGCAGGGUACAGUUCAGUAAGUUUUUAACCCCUUUCCCUGCACACACCGUACAGAGAGGCCACGAUGAGGGUUUCCAGGUACCGGCUGCAAUGCCAGUCAGCGGGCCAAGGGGCAUGGGUGUAUCCGGCUGGGCCAAGUGGGGGCACACCUUGUAAUCCGCACGUGUUAAUAGUGAUCCCAUGCUACUCGAGACGAUGGUCACCCCGCCUUAGAGUUUCUCUUGAACAAUGCUUUGGGUGAUUCCUGGCAUCUGGAAAGUUAAUCUGGUGUGUGCUGGUCAGGUGUGUUUUCAUCCCAAAGACCGUAAUCGGAAUUAGUCAACGUCUCAGGUUUGACUACAGAAAUCCUUUACACGUGGGUAAAGAGUACACCCUCUGCAGAGUUAUAUCUAUUCGAAUAGCCGUGUCCAUGGUGAAGGACUAUAGUCUGGGUUGGUCAAGUGUCGGUCUUAGUGUCAGUCUCCGGAGGAAAUAAUUAAAUUGAUCAUGGUUCAUUCUACAGGAUAAUUAUUGUCACUACUGGUGCCAUUAUGAAUAUUUUUGUUGACAUGCAUACUGUUGUGGACUAACCUUUUCCUCUUAUGUGCAACUAUGAGUAUCUCUUGGGAUGGCUAGACUACCCGGGAUACUCGUUUUGUUUUCUUUUCUUUUAUGAGUAUCACUUGGGAUGGCUAGUCCACCUGGAUACUCGUUUUGUUAUUUUCAUAUAAGCCCUUUAUGAGGUGUCGCUUCAGACACCCGACUGUGGCAUGUAUUUUCAAGACCUCUCGUGGCGUCGCUUGAGUUCUUGGACGGUCCUGUCUCGCCCGAUUCUCUUUUAGACACCCAUUUGGCAUUUCUCUUGGAAUUUCUCGGGCGGUCCAACGGCCGACGUUCCGUUUCAUUUCUUUGAUUUAAUAUUAACAUGACUUAUUUAUCCUUCCGCACAGUAUGAAUAUUUGUCAUGCCAUGCUCUAAUUCUCAGUCAGCACAUGCAUGUAAUUUAAUUCGUCAUGAGCAUAUGCAUCCGGUAUAUCUUUUGUUCAUGAUGUUUGCGAGUACAUUCAAACGUACUCACUGGCUUGUCCCUGGCUAUUGUCUUGGCUAGAUCAUGACUCAGAGAAGAGCACUACGAAGACACCCCACAACCUAGGAUUCAGAGAUAGCAGCCAUGCGAGAUAGGAGUUAUCCAGGCUAGCUGUUCCGUGGGAAUGGAGUUCCAUCAAUGUUGGAGAUCCACGAGUCGCUUCCAUCAUCUGCCACCAGAAAUCAUUGUUGUACUCAAUGGACCUAUAAGGUCUUGUACUCAUAUUCUUGUAAUUGCUUGGAAUUCUGUAUCAAGGAAAUGUCCACCAGCAACAGUAAUCCUGGGGCUGGUGAUGACACAAGGGUCGUUUACUGGGAUUUAUGUCCUGGAAAUCCAACCCCUUACAUUCAAUCUCAUUACCGGCAAGUCUCUUUACUCAUUCUGUAAUGCAUCAUCCCACAACUAACUCAUUAGUGACAUUGCUUGCAAGGCUUAUAGUGAUGUGCAUUACCGAGAGGGCCCAGAGAUACCUGUCCGACAAUCGGAGUGACAAAUCCUAAUCUCGAUCUAUUCCAACUCAACAAACACCAUUAGAGACACCUGUAGAGCAUCUUUAUAAUCACCCAGUUACGUUGUGACAUUUGAUAGCACACUAAGUGUUCCUCCGGUAUACGGGAGUUGCAUAAUCUCAUAUUCAUAGAACAUGUAUAAGUUAUGAAGAAAGCAAUAGCAACAAACUAAAUGAUCAUCGUGCUAAGCUAACGGAUGGGUCUUGUCAAUCACAUCAUUCUCUAAUGAUGUGAUCCCGUUAAUAAAAUGACAACUCAUGUCUAUGGCUAGGAAACUUAACCAUCUUUGAUUAACGAGCUAGUCAAGUAGAGGCAUACUAGUGACACUCUGUUUGUCUAUGUAUUCACACAUGUACUAAGUUUCCGGUUAAUACAAUUCUAGCAUGAAUAAUAAACAUUUAUCAUGAUAUAAGGAAAUAUAAAUAACAACUUUAUUAUUGCCUCUAGGGCAUAUUUCCUUCAGGGGCUUCGCGGGUUUUCGCGGCCUUGGUGUACCAAUGGGUGGGCGGAUGGGAUGGGAGGGGGGAACCAUGGCUUAGGGACACGCUUGUCCGAAAUGUGGGGUCAGUAAUGAAAGUACCCCCACUGAUUUGAGCUAGGCGGUUCUUUCGGUUCAGGAUUAUCACGGGCAUUUCACGUGUCGGGAUUUCGUAGGAGGUGGGAGUUUUUGCGCGCGUUGUAAUUUUGGGAUAGCAAGGCGUGGGUUGAGAUGGUGGGAGUUUUCAGAGCACAACGAGACAAAGAUAUAUCUUAAAAUUUCGGGGUAACAAGGCGCAGGUUGAAGAGGCGGGAGUUUCGCAGCACGAUAGACAGAGAUGCUAGCUUGAAAUUUCGGCAUAACAAGGCGUGGCUAGAAAUUUCUAGAGAACAAGCUUAAUGUGUACAAAAAAACAAAAUGCGCACCUCACUAGAGAGAGCCAUGUCCCGUUUUACUAGAUUACUAGAAAUGCAUUCAAAUAUAACAACAACAAAACUAAAAAACUCGGGACAACAAACAUAACGUGUAUAGUACCAAAUCAAUUUGCAGUUCCCUCAACAAUAAAAAAACAAUUCAUGUUGUCUAGCAUAUGGACUAAAUUUGAGUACCUUUUCCCUGUUUGAAUGGGAUUGUACUCGGGUUAGUUAUACAACCAUCUAAAUAUUAUCUUCACAACACAUGACUUGAAUAUAGGAGUAGUAAAUUCCUAUAUAAAUACGAACUACAUGUACAUACGAUCUCAAAUUCAAAUAUAUGUAUCCAUUUUAUGUUGAAUUCAAAUCAUAGUACAUGUAUGCUCUAGCUAGAUGUUCAGAAUCUGAACCAUGUAUGGUACUACGCACAAUGUGUUUAACACGCACAACACACACACAAACACCAUUUAGACUAGUAAGGUACACAUGCAUUGCACACAUGAGAUUUGGCAACCAAAUUAUGAAUAAAUACGACACUGUAGCAUGUAAGCUUUGAGUCAUAUAUGCAUGCUGUAGAUGUUCGUUUAAUUCUUAUAGUUCAUCUCAUUCAAAGUCAAUUAGUUUUUAUAAAAAAGCUAAUCUAUUUUAAGAUUCAUGGAAUUGUGCGUUGUAAAACAUAAAGUAAAAACAAAUAAUGGCAAUUCAUGUAGAAAAAGAUUGGGCAAUUAUGAUACGGUAGAUUCUAGAACAAAGGAGAAGUGCUUAUGUUUUGAGGUUUGUGCAUUAUGCUUAAGUUCAACCAUGGAGUCUUCUAGAUUGUACAUGUGGCAAAAUUUGGUGGAAUGUAGAUGAUAUCCAAUGGCCAGUAGUGCUCAGAUUUGCCAUCUUCUGCUCCGUCGGAUUGGCUUCAUCCAACGACCGUCUUUCAGAGUUAUUCGCACACUAUAUAGGGGUAUACAUAUAGAUAUGUGAUGCGAAAGCCACCCAUCAUCUCCAAUUUGAAUAGUGUGUCCAUGCACGGAUGCAAUGUAGCCAAACGAUGCCUGCCAUCGGUAUCUCAAAUUCAAAUCAGUCUGACCUUGUUCAAUGUGUAUACAGUAUAGCAUGCUCGUUUCCAAACCACACCGCGCAUAUCUCAGUUAUAUUCAUGCAUGCAUGGGUUUCAAACAUCAUGAUCUCUUAUUCAAAUAUUUGAAUUCAACUUUACAUUGAUUAUGACCUCACCUAGUCUUUUACACCCACACAGUCGUCUUCUCUUUAUAAUUGUACUACUAACUUUCUCUCGUGCAUGCAUGCACACACACUACCACUCGGCAUUAUCCAUCGCACACAUGCAAUCUUUUUCUUCCGGUUCGUCUCCCAUGCAUGCACACACACACCUCCCCCUCUUCAUCACUUUGGGCAUUCUUUAUCUCUCACAUGCAUGCGCAACGAUCGAUGUUCCUCUAUGUGUGUGUGUAUAUAGCUAGGUCUUUUCCAGUUUUCCACACAAACUGAUCAAUCUAUAUAUCUAGUCAGGUCUCACCCUCUUUCCCACAUACACAUCGAUCAAUCUAUACCUCUCUAUAUAGGAUUAAAUAGCUAAUACACCCACAUUAUAUAUCCAUCGUCCCCCUCUCAUCAUCCAUGCCUUCCGCUUCAUCUCUCAGACGCGCGCACAGUGGCGAAGACAGGGGGCAGCAAGGGCCCUGGCCCCCCUAACAUCACUAUACAUUGAGGCUAAUAUGAUUGUGAUCAGUAGAUCAAUUGUUGGUAAAAUGGUUUAAGUUGAUGAAUUGGCCCUCCUCGUAAAGUAUUAGCAAUGCUUGGCCCCCUAGCUCAUUUAUUUUUCAUGGCUCCGCCACUGCACACAACCGCGCACUCGGCCCCUCUCUUUAAAUAUCAAUCUCUCACUUGUGCACUCCUUCAUAGUCUCCCUCCACUUGGCCCCUCGCACCAUUUUCCAGCUCCCACCCCCAUAUCCCAGUGCUUGUACGCUCAUAGAGCUCUUCCCUCUAUCUGUCUCUAUCUAUAUCUCGCGCGGUCGACCCCUCCCCUCCCUUCUCGUAUAUCACCCCGGCCCCAUGCACAUACAUGUAUGUAUAUAUGCCUCUCCUUCACACAAAUUGCUUUGACACGUAUUCCCUCACCAUAUCGUAGUAUCUCUCACACACAUGGACCACGUGUGCGAAAGAGAAGAGGCGCACACACACACUCGUUCCCACAUACAAACGCGUGGGUGCACGGUGGAGCACAUUUGUACAAAAAAUGAGCGUGUAGAAAGACUUUAGAUGAUGUGCCAAACUAGUCUAUAUCUAUACCUCUAUAUCUAUAUCUAUACCCCUAUAUUGAGUGCGAAUAAAUUCGAAAGAUGGUUGUUGGAUGAAGCCAAUCAGAUGGUGUAGAGAUGGAAAAUCCGAGCACUACUGGCCAUUGGACAUCAUCUACAUUCCACCAGAUUCUGCCACAUGUACAAUCUAGAAGACUUCAUGGUUGAACUUAAGCAUAAUGCACAAACCUAAAAACACAAGUACUUCCCCUUUGUUCUAGAAUCUUCCGUAUCAUAACCGCCCAAACUUUUUUUCUAGUUGAAUUGCCAUUAUUUGUUUUUACUUUAUGCUUUACAACGCACAAUUCCACGAAUCGUAAAAUAGAUUAACUUUUUUAUAAAAACUAAUUGAUUUUGAAUGAGAUGAACUAUAAGAAUUAAACUAACGUCUACAUCAUGCAUAUAUGACUCAAAGCUUACAUCCUAUAGUGUGGUAUUUAUUCAUAAUUUGGUUGCCAAAUCUCAUGCGUGCAAUGCACAUGUACUUUACUAGUACUUCCACUAUGAAGCCACAUGGCACAUGUGGAGCCGUUGUCACGACCUCCUUGUGUGGAUUGAUCACAGUGACAUGUUGCUGGUUCCAGAAGAAUGUACUCGUCCUCUCUCAUGCAUACUGGCAGUACAUGCACCAAGCGAAGAUGUGCACGCACACACUCAUUCCCUCGCACGCACAUGCGGGUACACGGUGGGACACAUUUUUGUACGAAGAUCCAACCCAUGUGAUAAUUUGACGUGUGUAAAGUCGUUCACUUCAUUGAUGGCCAAUCAGUACAGUGCAUGCAAAUUGGAGUGGAUGUGAGGGAGGAAGUAGUUGAGAAAGACAUUACUACUACACUGCGUGCAUGCGAGUAGUUAAAUCUUGGGUUGCUACUUCCAUUGGUCUCCUUCGUAUUUUGUGCAAAUUUUUUACCAUAAUUUUAAGUAACACAAUAUUUAUGCAUGUCAUAAAAAUUAAUGUCAUCGAAAACUACUUUCAAAUGUGAUUCCAAUGACAUAAUUUUUGGUGACAUGCAUUAACAUUUUGUUAGUUAAAUUUUUGGUCAAAAAUUGGCACAAAAUAAAAAGGGGGCCGGUAAACCAGGACGCAGGCAGGAUGUUCAAUUUUUGCCUGGGUUACUGUUGGUGGCCUUUGUAUUUAAAUAUGGACAGAGUGGAGUAGUACUAUCUUUAUCUUAGCCUCGUAGGGCUCUCCCAACGCCUACGCUUGCCUCCCCGCCUCGCCCACCGGAUCCCGCCAUGGAGGAUCCCUCCAUGGAUAAUCCCUUAUAUCCCAGGAUCCCGCGGGCUGCCCUCUCGCUGCGGCCCGCAGCACUGCCGCCUUUGAGCGAAACCCACAUGUGUUUCAGAGGGGAUCUAUUGCUCUGGAAUCACAGAUCGGUGGCGCCGGAGGACAUGCCAGGGCUGCGUUUCAGGUGGUGGGCAGCAAGGGCAAAUCGGAUCGAGGAAGCGCCGCAUCGAUUGAAGACAAGUUCGAAGGAGCUGCGCCUGGCGAAGCACAAGGAGGAGGUGCAAGUCGAACUCAGGGGAGAGAUGCUGAGGGAUGUCAGCAUCUGGCAUCCUCGCGUUGAUUUCGAGUUGGGGCUAUUGGCAGAGAUCAUAUUCAUGGAGUUGACUGCAGAGGAAAGAACACGCAUGCCUGCGGAAUGGCAUGAGAAACCGGUGCAACUAUUCAAAUGGGCGGUAGGAGAAGACAAAUCCCGGGAACAGCUGCAGCGGCGCCGCUGGGCAUGCAUCAUAGGCGAGGUGAGCGGCCCUCCUUCCCCGCCAGCGAUGCAGUGACUUACUCGGUUGCUGCUGCAGUGAACUUGCGGCGCCAUGUCAGUUUGCAACCGUGACAAUCACUCCAUCUAUAUGUAUUGUAUUCAUGUGAAAAUACUUGGUCGUUUGGAAAAAGAUAGUAAUUUAUUUAUCACUAGUUUUUGAAUGCUUGGUCAUGACAAUCACCCGAAGCCACAACCAGAAGUCUCCAUCGCGUAAUACUUACGGUCGGUCGCACCAACAGACGGUCGGUCGGACCCGCAUCUCACCGAAGGGACACGCACUCGGCUUGGUCUGACAUGCACGACCAGUUACAUCACUGACUUGUGCGACCGCAUUUGAGCAGUAGUACUUGAAAUUUAUGUUCCACUAAACUCAUCGGGAGCCGAUUCGGGCCUCGAAACCAGAACCAUCCAUUAAUCUUUAGCUUGUUCCCAUCACAUUCGGAAGUAGUACGACCAUGCUAUAAUUAAGUGCAAACCUACUCACACUUUGUACGUAUCAAACCUAAACGUGUUCCCACUAUGCAGGUUUUAGUACUAGUGCUAGUACUAGGUUAUAAAAAGGGGAACUACCUAGCCGAAAAUCCCUCUACCUUCCUCCUCAUAAGUCUUUCUUGACGUCCGUCCUUGCCAUGGCCGGUGUGCAGAGCUCUAGGUCGAGUACUACUCGUAACAAGGCAGCGGCGACCAAGGCCGCGGAAAAAAAAGAGUGGGCUCGCCGCCUCGCAGACACCUCGAAAGAUCUCUCACGGGCAGGUGAGGGCUCCCAGGAGCGCCCUAGCCACGGAGGCGAACAUGCUGAGCUGGCGGCGCUGGAGUCAUUAUCCCUCGACGACAUGCCCGAUCAGCUCAAUUAGCAGAAGGAGUUCAUCGACGGCUUGGCGGAACUACUGAAGGAGAGCCUCGAUGACAUGCCCGCUGAGCUCAAUGAGCAGGGGAGUUGACCACCGGCUUGGUGAUGCUGCUGAAGAAGAGCAUUUCCUCGGAUAAGAAAGCGACCAGCAACAUCCUGCAACUUCAGGAGGACAAGGCGAAGCUCUGCCACGAGCUCAACCUGCUAAAGGAGGAGAAUGCCGGCAAGAAGAAGCUGCAUGAGAAGAGUAGUUCCUCGGUGAAGAUGCUGCACGCCCUCGUCAUGGAACAGAAGGAGGAGUUGGCGAAGCUCCGCAUCUAGCACCCGACUGCUGUCAAGGUACGUAAUGCGGUCGUGGAAGAGAUGAUGAAGGCUCGCGUUGAGAAAUCCCGCGUCAUGGACAGAAUGAAGAAGAUGGCAGAGGAGAUGCGCGAGCAGAUGGAGGUCAUGGAGGCGAUGAAGAAGCAGUUACGACUCUGUGGUCAGCAACCCUUCAUGUAGUAGAGAGCAGCGCCCCAGACUUGUGUGUGUGUCUUCCUUCUUUUUUGGGGGGAUAAUCUUCCUUUUUCUUUUUCUCCUGUGUUUCUUCUUUUGCUUCGGGUGUUUCGCCGCACAUGUCACGUUCUCUGCGAGGCAUGAAUAGAACAAUGCUAACGAUGAGCAGCGCCGUGGGAUCGAUGACUAGCAAAUUAGAUCAUUUUUUAUCGCCAUAUCGCACUGGGUUGCCCGCUUUCGUGCUCCUCCGUCGUACUAGUACUCCAGUGGAAAACUUGAGUAUACUGCACGGUUCUUUGCUCCACCUCAGGUCGUCGGCAACAUUUAUACGAGCAGUAAAAUCACAAGGCCCCGCCUUCUAGCAGUAAUGAGCCAUCAAAUCACAAAGGCCUCUUGUGAAACCGACCAAGCGAGACUGCCCCGCCCUCUAGCCUUUUAAGUGUAUAAUUUUGUUCAGUAGUAGUAUCGAUGGAUUGCGCCAUGGAGCAAAACUAACAAGAUGAAAUUAAAGAAAAAAGGUGGUACAUAUAGAGAGCGCUCGUCGCCAAAUUAUGCAUAUAGUACUAUUAAAGAAGCUAGUAUGUGCUUAGAUGGGGUGCUAAAGUCUAUUAAAGAAAUUAGCAUACCUAUUUAAUUCUUUGACAACUAAACUGUUGGCUAUAUGAUGUUGGCCAUAUAUAUUGUACGUAUAUAAUGUGAAGAAACGAGUGGUAGUACUACCAACUACAAUAUGAACUAUAACAAAUACUAGUAUGUACAUACUGAAGAGUUAAAGUAACGAGAAGGAACAUAACAUAGUUCUACUGGGGGCUCAGCACAACACACCCCUCAAAUAAAAGUAAGCACCAUGAAAUUAAACUAAGAUACUAAUUCGGUAGAGACUGCAUUACAACCACCAUGAGCAACGACACUGCAACCUUACUCGGACUCCUCGUCCACGUGCUCGACUUCAUCCUUGUCCCUCUAACUCUUGGCCGAUACUUCUUUGCUUGAAACGCAAACUUGGCUCUUGCUCUUCAUCCAACCUUUGUAGAUAUUGAAACAAAGGUAGGCAUCCAUUGCAGCGUAAUCGAUGUGGUCUCUAUCUAGUACAUUCCACUACCAUGCAAAAUGAAACUUGGGCGUAGGUUUCGUCAGUUUACUGUAUGAAGGAUCAACCAUGGCUGCUGCCAGGGCCACCAUUGAAGGCUAACGGGAGACACCGGCCCAUUCCUCUGGAGGUCGAAGGGCCAGCCUACAAUGAGGCCUAUACGAUCCAGGACUUCUAUGUCAUUCGUAAAGUCUACAGAAACAAAUUUGACUUUGCCGCCCGCGAGGAAGUUCUUAAAAUCCUCGCACUCAACAUUGGCAUGGCAUAUGUGGUAGACCAAGCACAAGUUAUGCACGCAAACUUGGAUCAUGACGGGCUUCUUCUUCUCUUCCUCCUUUAGAUUCUUCUCUUUUCCCAGGAUUGUGGUGUACUCAACAUCUAGCCCAACGACCCACUCAUCACCCUUUGAAUUUUUGAACAUGCGUCUGAAGCGAGCAAGGCAUCCUUUCACCGUCGGGGAAGAACGGGUGUAGAUGACGUCGAACUCAUCGUCGGUGAUGGUUAUAACCUUGUACUCACCACCGAUCAUGGAGAUUUGGGAUGCCAUGGAUUUGGGAGGAGGGUUAGGAUUAGUGGAACUGCUGUAAUGUGAAAGGACGGGAUGACUAGGAGCGAACUGCCGUAAUGUUAAAGGACGGCCAGGGACGAGUAGGAGCGAAUGGCUAGCGGUUUCCCGAUUGUAAAAAUGUUGAGUGGGGCAUGCGAACGGCAGGGUAGUGGCUUGCCCGGUGGAUAAAUGGAUUCAUGCACAGUACUGUGGGGGACCAAUUAGAUGUCAUGUCUACUAGACACCCAAUUAAAUGGCUUCAUGCAUCUGCGUGUUCGCACGUCAAGCGUCGGGAAAAUUACAGGUGAUACGAAGCUUUCCAUGCUCCCAUGAUACGGGCUUCCGAGAGCCCUUGGAUCUGAGAUCGAACGGUUGCAUGACGUGAUUCUAGACCUAUGGGUGAAUAUCCUAUCUUGGAGGGUUGUUCUGCAAUUUUUCAGCAACUUAGCAUGCGACCGUUCGAUCUCAUAUCCAAGGGCUGUCAGCAGCCCGUAUCAUGGUCGUGCCUACCAUGACCGUCGCCUCACUCGCGCGGUCGUGCCCAUGGAUAUUUCAGACAGCUAUAAAUGAGCAUUUUUUGCCUCCGUCCAGGUGCGUUAUGCUAUCUGAUGUUGGCAUGUCAUACAUAGUCAUCACUUAGUCACUCAUACAACAAGGUUAGCUAUAAGGUUGGCUAUAAGAGUAUUUUUUAUUUCUCUCUAUCUCUUUCUUCAUAGUAUUUAUUGCAUUUGCCAAGGAGUAAGGACUAUAGUACUUGGCACCUGUAUACCAUGGAGGUGGUCAGGAAUCGGGAGACUCACGCCGGUCAUAGCGCUGCAGUUAAAAUGAUAUUGGCAAGUCAAAUCACAGGGCCCCACCUGUCUAGCAGUAACUCGCCAUCAAAUCACACAGCCCUACAUUUGCACCAGCCUACUCCCUCAUCUUCUCGCCUCUCCGUCGAACCGACUAGGCGGCACUGCCCCGCCUACCGCACGGGAAAAUCCCUGCCCUCGACUUUUAAGUAUAAUUUUGUAUCCAUGGAUUGCGCCAUGGAGCAAAGCCUCAAGAAAACGGCGGUACACAUGUAUACAGCACGCCCGUCGCGUUCGUGUCGCACCCCCGACGGUCGGUCGGUCUGGCACGCCGCUGUCCGAAUGGAACGCGCGCCAUAUUGCGUUUGCACACACAUGUGGGACCACAAUUGAGAACCGACCAUAGGCAACUCCCCGGCCCCGCAAGUCAGCUGAGUUAAUAGAAGAGAGAGACGAGCGAUAGUACUAGAGCAGUGUUGUACAGAUGUCGGUGCCUGGACGAUCCCUGCAUGACACGGGAGAUUAGUUCGUCCAUGCAUGUGACCAGACUCCAGCAGACGGCUGGAUUGGCUAUCGUCUACAUAUCGUGCAGGCUGUGUUGUACAGGGCUGUAGUUCUGAUGAGAAAUCUAAAAAAAGGUUUCUUGUCAUCUCGCAAUAUUAGAUCUCAUGUGCUUCGGAUCACUGCAAGGGGUAAACAGCGACAACUGAGUUCCUCCAAGGCGUUGGUCAUUGGGGGCACAGGAACGAAGACUACUCGGCUGCCAUCAAGGUCAAGCCGGCUAUGUUAAUUAGGAGUUCUAUCGAUGGGCCCCUUUUCUAUGAGUUUGUCUUUAAUUUGAGCUUUGAUCCUCUUCUAGUUUGUCCGUCGGGAUUCAUGUUGUCUCCUUGGGGCAGUGAGGUUAUGCUUUCUUGUCAUGUGGCAUUUUUUCGUGUUAUAUGUUAAUCUGGUGCUUCAGAUCAAAAUGGCGACAACUACGCCUCUGGGGCACGUGCAUGAAGACUUCUCGACAGUCAUUGACGAGGUGUCGGCCCCGGUAGAUAAAAGAAAACUACUCCACUAUAUAGGCAGGAGCCUCCAUGCUUGCUUGCUAGUGUUGCUCUCUUCACACUCUCUUGUCCUCUCCAGAUCUAAACAUGAUAGCGGUGGCCACACACUCUCUCUCUCUCUGCUCACCGCUGGUCACAGAUCCAGCCGGAUCCCCUCCACCGGGGAAGGUGAGAAGGUGCCAUGUUCAUGCGGCCGUCCUCAGCGACGGCUCUUACCCACUGCAGGCGCGUCCCGAUCAGCGUGCCUUGCCGUUCUCUCCCAUGCAGCGCCGGCUAGGGAGGGCCUCCGACCCCUUCUUCCUUGCUGCCAUAGUGUGGGCAGAUCUGGCCUCCCGCUGCCCACCUAGCGACAUCCCUGCGACCCUCAGGUAUAACUUCCUAUGAAACCGGCCUUACUCUACUUCCCCAGCUUCUGACGUUGCUGCAUUUGUAUCUUUUACUAUUUCUCAGGCCCCCUCGUAGAUAGGAUCGAUCGGCUGUUCAAAAGCCACCUAAAUUUUUAAUGUUAAGGGGUAAAACAGUUCAUGUAGUUGAAUCUAGUACUACUUGGUUCAAACAGGGAAGAAAGGGGGUGGGGGAAGAUUUGUUACCUGAAUCUAGUACUUGGUCGAAAUAUGAAAUAAUGGGGGAAAAAAGUAGCAGAGACUGGCUAUCCAACUGGUCUCUUGGUCUAAUAGGGAAAUAAAGGGAAACGCAGUACAGACUCAAUAUAAACCGAUCUAUUGGCUGAAAAAGGAAAGAAAGUGGAGACUGGGGGACAAGUCAACAGAGUAUGUCCAGCACUAGAUUUGCUAGCCUCACACAGUAUAAGGUGGCUAUACCGAACAAAAAUGGGGCCAAGCCAAAUAUCAUGUUCUGAUGUUUGUUGCCCCGAGCCCCUCUUAUGUAAUUCCACUGGUAAAAUGUAGUAGUCGCACUGUUAAAAGUAAGGACAUGUUAAACCAAUGUUAUUUUGAAUGUAAUGCCUCCAGUAAUAUGAAUCAAUGGCACUGUUUUUCAUGUCCUACUAAAUUUCCCAGUAAGAUAAGUUGCUUCUUUUCAUUAGAAAUGCAACUGUCCUGGUACGCCUACUCUCCCGUGCCCAAAUACCAACUCUUUAGCAGCUGUUAAUGUAAUGUUGCUGGUAAAAUGAAGCAAUGGCACCAUUAAAGUAAUGUCAUAUUUAACGGCUGUCAUAGUUAAUCCUAAUGCCCACACUAAUAUCUAGCAAUGCUGCUGCUUUAGAAAUUGCUACUGUCCUUGUAGGAUCGCCAUUCAGAUAAGGAACAUGCUUCUUUUCAUUUGAUGUAUGUUUCAUCACUUGUUAGUCACCCUCCUUUCCACCUUUUUGUGCAAACAGAGAUAUACAUUUCACGCUUGAUCUUAGUUGAACUGCACAAAUGAUAUCCAAAUUAUAGUUGAACAUUCCACGAGCUUCAUGACCAACCUUGAUGUUGCUCAAUUUUAUUGCAACUAAUGAAGAAGAAGCUGCUAGCUCAUGGGACAUUGCUUCAUUUUAGGUGAACUGCACAAAAAGGUCCCAUGUAUUGAAUCAUCCAUGUUGGUGACUGGUGUCAUCCCUUCUACGAUGGCGUUGACUACAGAUAUGGUUCCCAUCACGAGGUAUGUUCCUUUUUUGGUCCAACCGUUUGCCAAAGACCCUGCAUGUUGAGUCUGCUCUUGUGCUACUGUUUUGUCACUGCCAUCAUAAAGCAGUAAUGUUAUUAUUUUGCACCUUAAUCGAGUGGCACUAUUAAUUUGAGGCAAUGUUUUGGCACCGCUAGUGCCACUGUUUUUUAUAUAUCGAAAGAGGGGGUUUCCUCCGAUUUCAUUAAAGAAACCCAACCAUAGAGAACCAUUAUCCGACAACAUCUGAGUGUAAACGGGCAGUUAUGCAACUACUACUAGAACGGACUGAGUACUAGCAGGAGACAAGUUCGCCACAUAAGCUAGGCAAGUAGGGGGACGCAGCACUAGCUCGACCAAGUUCGGAUUACAACCCAAAUGCUACCACAGAAACAUCAAGGGGGAAGAUAGGGACUGAAAGAGCCAGCUUCAACAUCCCAUUCUAAGCAACCCCGGCCUCCAUCCUUGCGACGCACGGUACACCUCGCUUGCCACCUGCUCGACCCUAGUGCCACUGAUAAAAUGAAGUAAUAAUACAGUUAAAAUAGAGCGAGUUGAUGGCGGCUUGAAGCUACGUCGGUAUUUCCCCAAAGAGGAAGGGAUGAUGCAGCACAGCAGCGGUAGGUAUUUCCCUCAGUGAUGAAACCAAGGUUAUCGAACCAGUAGGAGAACCAAGCAACACAACGUAAUCAGCCCCUGCACACAAAUAACAAAUACUCGCUACCCGACGUGUUAAAGGGGUUGUCAAUCCCUUUCGGGCAACGGCGCCAGAAAUUGGCACGUGGAUGGGAGUUAAAUUGUAGUAGAUUGAUAGAUCGAACGCCAAAUAAAAUAAAUAAGAAUAAAAAGCAGCAAGGUAUUUUUGUAUUUUUGGAUUAAUAGAUCUGAAAAUAAAAUCAAAGGAAAAGUAUAUCGCAAAGGCAAAUAAUAUGAGAAAGAGACCCGGGGGCCGUAGGUUUCACUAGUGACUUCUCUCGAGAAAAAUAGCAAACGGUGGGUAAACAAAUUACUGUUGGGCAAUUGAUAGAACUUCAAAUAAUCAUGACGAUAUCCAGGCAAUGAUCAUUAUAUAGGCAUCACGUCCAAGAUUAGUAGACCGACUCCUGCCUGCAUCUACUACUAUUACUCCACACAUCGACCGCUAUCCAGCAUGCAUCUAGUGUAUUAAGUUCAUGGAGAAACGGAGUAAUGCAAUAAGAACGAUGACAUGAUGUAGACAAGAUCUAUCUAUGUAGAGAUAGACCCCAUCAUUCUAUCCUUAGUAGCAACGAUACAUAUGUGUCGGUUCCCCUUCUGUCACUGGGAUCAAGCACCGUAAGAUCGAACCCACUACAAAGCACCUCUUCCCAUUGCAAGAUAAACAGAUCAAGUUGGCCAAACAAAAUCCAAAUAUCAGAGAAGAAAUACGAGGCUAUAAGCAAUCAUGCAUAUAAGAGAUCAAAGAGACUCAAAUAACUUUCAUGGAUAUAAGAAGAUAGAUCUGAUCAUAAACUCAAAGUUCAUCGGAUCCCAACAAACACAUCGCAAAAAGAGUUACAUCAUAUGGAUCUCCAAGAGACCAUUGUAUUGAGAAUUCAGCGAGACAGAGGAAGCCAUCUAGCUACUAACUACGGACCCGAAGGUCUACAAAGGACUACUCACGCAUCAUCGGAGAGGCACCAAAGUGGUGAACCCCUCCGUGAUGGUGUCUAGAUUGGAUCUGGUGGUUCUAGACUCUACGCCGGCUGGAAUUGAUUUUCGUCAACUCCCCUAGGGUUUCUAGAAUAUUGGGGUAUUUAUAGAGCAAAGAGGCGGUCCGGGGGCACCCGAGGUGGGCACAACCCACAAGGGCGCGCCUGGGCCUCCUGGCGCGCCCUGGUGGGUUGUGCUCCCCUCGGAGCACCCCCCAGGCGCAGCCUUGGCCCAUUAGGUGUCUUCUGGUCCCAAAAAAAUCUCCGUAAAGUUUCGUUGCAUUUGGACUCCUCUUGGUAUUGAUUUCCUGCGAUGUAAAAAACAUUCAAAAAACAGCAACUGGCACUUGGCACAAUGUCAAUAGGUUAGUACCAAAAAAUGAUGUAAAAUGACUAUAAAAUGAUUAUAAAACAUCCAAGAUUGAUAAUAUAACAACAUGGGACAAUCAAAAAUUAUAGAUACGUUGGAGACGUAUCAACAUCCCUAAGCUUAACUCCUACUCGUCCUCGAGUAGGUAAGUGAUAAAAACAGAAUUUUUGAUGUGGAAUGCUGCCUAACAUGUCAUAUCAUAUUCUUUUCUUUCUAGCAUGGACAUUUGGACUUUUAUGUGAUUCAAAGUAAUAGUCUAGUUUUGGCAUGAUAAUUUAAAUACUCAAGCAUAUCAACAAGCAACCAUGUCUUUCAAAAUAUCAACGCUAAAAUAAGUUAUCCCUCGCCCAUCAAGCUCAAUCAUUGAUCCAUUCAUCAAACACACUCGCAUAUUAACUACACCCAAUACUCAAGUACGAUCAUAUUGCCUCCUAGUUGGUGCUUUUAUAAGAGAAGAUGGAGACUCAAAUUCAAAAUAAAAAUUGCAUAAAGUAAAAGAAAGGCCCUUCGCAGAGGGAAGUAGGGAUUUGUAGACGUGCCAGAGCUCAACGCGAAAACUGAGAGAUAAAAACAUUUUGGGAGGUGUAUCUUUCCCACCAACGAAAGCGACUUAGAGUUUCCAACACUUUCCAUGCUAGAUAUAUCAUAGGCGGUUCCCAAAAAGAAAAUAAAGUUUAUUCCUUUUUCCACCAUACUUUCACUUUCCAUGGCUAACCGUAUCCACGUGUGCCUUCCAUACCAACACUUUCCAAGGAAUUUAUUAUUUGACAACAUAAAGUAAAUUCAUUUUUUCAUUUCGGGACUGGGCAUCCCUAAUACCUUUGCCUUACUCUCGUGCAACGACAAGUGAAUAAACACUCAUCGUGAGAAUAACACAUCUAGCAUGGAAAAUAUUAGCCACCGCUCCGCGAGCAGUACGAACACACAAAAGAGAAGUUUAUUUUGAAAAUUAGAGAUGGCACAUACAAAUUUGCUUAGAACGGCAAAAGAAUACCGCAUGUAGGUAGAUAUAGUGGACUCAUGUGGCAAAAAUGGUUUAAAGGUUUUUGGAUGCACAAGUAGAGAUCAUACUUAGUGCAAAAUGAAAGCUAGCAAAAGAUCGAGAAGCGACCAACCAAGAAACAAAUAAUCUCAUAAGCGAGCAUUAAGCAUAAUUAACACCGAAUAAUGCACCACAAGUAGGAUAUAAUUUCAUUGCAUAAUUAUUGACUUUCAUGUUUGCAUAGGGAAUCACAAACCUUAACACCAAUAUUCUUACUAAAGCAUAAUUACUCAUCAACAUAACUCACAUAUCACAUCAUCAUAUCUCAAAACUAUUACUAAGAAUCAAGUUUAUUUUGUCCAAUGAUCUUCAUGAAAGUUUUUAUUAUAUCACUUUGGAACUAAUUUUCAUAUGUUGCUUUUCAUAAGCUCAAACAAAUAUAAGUGAACAUCAUGAGCAUAAAAUUUCUAUUCUCUCAAAUUAAUUUAAGUGAAGCAAGAGAGAAUUUCUUGAAAAUUUUACUAACUCUCAAAUAAAUCUAAGUGAAGAAAGAGAGCAUUUCUUCAAAAAUACUAAAGCACACCAUGCUCAAAAAGAUAUAAGUGAAGCACUAGAGCAAGUCCAUAGCUCAAAAAAGAUUUAAGUGAAGCAUAGAGAGCAAUUCUAACAAGUCAUGACAUAAUUUUGCCUCUCUCAAAUAGGUGUGUCCAACAAGGAAUAAAAACUUAGAACACAAAAUAAAACAAUCAAAGACUCAUAUCAUACAAGACGCUCCAAGCAAAACACUUAGUAUGUGACGAAAAAAAUAUAGCUUCGAGUAAAAUACCGAUGGUCGUUAGAAGAAAGAGAGGAUGCCACUCGGGGCAUCCCCAAGCUUAGUUGCUUGCUCUCUUUUGGAUAAUAGUUUGGGAUGCCGAGGCAUCCCCAAGCUUAGGCUCUUCUUACUCCUUAUUCCUUCAUCCAUCGUAAGAUAACCCAAAACUUGAAAACUUCAAUCACACAAAACUCAACAAAACCUUCGUGAGAUCUGUUAGUAUAAGAAAAUAAAUCACUACUAUAAGUACUGUUGCAACCUAUUCACAUUUUUUCUUGCAUUAUAUCUACUGUAUUCCAACUUUUCUAUGGAAAAAACUCUUCAAAGAAAACCAUAGAACCAUCAAAACAAGCACACAACGAAAAAAAAACAGAAUCUGUCAAAAACAGAACAGUCUGUAGUAAUCUGAAUUGUUCGAAUACUUUUGAAACUCCAAAAAUUCUUAAAAAAUAGGACGACCUGAGAAAUUUGUAUAUUAAUCUUCUGCAAAAAAUAAUUGGUAUUUUAUCACGCUCUGGUAAAAAUAAGAAUUGUUUUCGUGAGCGCAAAAGUUUCUGUUUUUUCAGCAAGAUCAAACAACUAUCACCCAAGAAGAUCCUAUAGGUUUUUCUUGGUACAAACACUAAUUAAAACACAAAAAACACAAUCAUAAAAGUAUGUACAAACACUCAAGAACAGAAAGAAAAAAACAAAAAUAAAUUUUAUUCAUUGGGUUUCCUCCCAACAAGCGCUAUCGUUUUACGCCCCUAGCUAGGCAUAAUAUUUUAUUGAUGCUCACAAGAAAGAUAAUAAUUGAAACACACAGAGAGCAUCAUAAAACAUGUGACAAAUAAAUUUAGGUAUAACAUACUUCCUAUGCAUAGGAAUCUUAUAGGAAAACAAAUUAGCAAGACAAGCAAGAUCUAGCAUAUGCAAGGAAGAAGAAAGAAACAAAAGCAAUCUCAACAUGAAGAGAGGUAAUUUAGUGACAUGAAAAUUUCUACAACCAUAUUUUCCCCUCUCAUAACUAUUACAUGUAGGAUCAAAUUCAAAUUCAACAAUAUAACUAUCACAUUAAAUAUUCUCUUCAUGAUCCACAUGCAUGCAAAGUUGACACUCUUCCAAAAUAGUGGGAUUAACAUCAACUAAAGUCAUGACCUCUCGAAACCCACUUUUAUCAAUAAUUUGAUAAGAUUGAACACUCUCCAAAUAUGUGGGAUUAUUUUUACCUAAAGUUGACGCUCUUCCAAACCCACUUUCAAUAUUAUUGCAAACAUUAUUAUCAAUAUCAUAUUCAUCAUGAGGCUUAAAUAAAUAUUCAAGAUCAUAAGAAGAAUCGCCCCAAUCAUGAUCAUUGCAAUAUGUAGUGGACAUAUCAAAAUUAGUAUCCCCAAGCUUGGGGUUUUGCAUAUUAUUAGCACAAUUCUUCCAUUGGCAUUAACACAUCAUAGUGAAGCUUCCUUCACUGAACAGAUCUUCAGCAAGAAGUGACUAGUUGUCAUUCCAAACUCCUAACCUUUUGUUUAUCUCUUUCUUGCUUCGAUUAUAAAUUCAUCAAAUGAAGGAUUCAGAGCUUUUGUGUCCCUACAGUUAAGUACCAAUAUCUUUAUUGUCCGUCCAGCUAUUCAGGUUGACAUUAAUAGAAUUUAUAAUAACAUCAUAGCAACCAUGCUUUUCAUUCAAGGAGCUAUCGUGAAUCACUUCAUAACCUUCUUCUUUUAACACUUCAUCACAAUUUCCAGAUUCACGAAAUUUAAUCAAAACUUCAUAAAGAUAAUCUAGUGCACUCGACUCACUAGCAAUUGGUUCAUCAUAAUUGGAUCUUUUGAAAAGAUUAGCAAGUGGAUGAGGAUCCAUAUAAAUAGAUUUUUAGGAAGCAAAGAGGCAAGCAAAUAGAAGACACAUCACAACACAAGCAAAUAAAGGUCGGACGAGAAAAAGGCGAACGAAAAACAGGGCGAAUAAAAUGGCAAAUUUUUGUGAAGUGGGGGAGAUGAAAACGAGAGGCAAAUGGCAAAUAAUGUAAAUUGCAAGGAGAUGAGAUUUGUGAUUAGGAACCUGGUAGAUGUUGAAGAUCCUCCCUGGCAACGGCGCCAGAAAUUCCUUUUGAUGGCGGCUUGAAGCUACGUCGGUAUUUCCCCAAAGAGGAAGGGAUGAUGCAGCACAGCAGCGGUAGGUAUUUCCCUCAGUGAUGAAACCAAGGUUAUCGAACCAGUAGGAGAACCAAGCAACACAACAUAAUCAGCCCCUGCACACAAAUAAUAAAUACUCGCAACCCGACGUGUUAAAGGGGUUGUCAAUCCCUUUCGGGCAACGGCGCCAGAAAUUGGCACGUGGACAGGAGAUAAAUUGUAGUAGAUUGAUAGAUCGAAUGCCAAAUAAAAUAAAUAAUAAUAAAACGCAGCAAGGUAGUUUUGUAUUUUUGGAUUAAUAGAUCCGAAAAUAAAAGCAAAGGAAAAGUAGAUCGCAAAGGCAAAUAAUAUGCGAAAGAGACCCGGGGGCGUAGGUUUCACUAGUGGCUUCUCUCGAGAAAAAUAGCAAACGCUGGGUAAACAAAUUACUGUUGGGCAAUUGAUAGAACUUCAAAUAAUCAUGAUGAUAUCCAGGCAAUGAUCAUUAUAUAGGCAUCACAUCCAAGAUUAGUAGACCGACUCCUGCCUGCAUCUACUACUAUUACUCCACACAUUGACUGCUAUCCAGCAUGCAUCUAGUGUAUUAAGUUCAUGGAGAAACGGAGUAAUGCAAUAAGAACGAUGACAUGGUGUAGACAAGAUCUAUCUAUGUAGGGAUAGACCCCCAUUGUUUUAUCCUUAGUAGCGACGAUACAUACGUGUCAGUUCCCCUUCUGUCACUGGGAUCAAGCACCGUAAGAUCGAACCCACUACAAAGCACCUCUUCCCACUUCAAGAUAAAUAGAUCAAGCUGGCCAAACAAGACCCAAAUACCGGAGAAGAAAUACGAGGCAAUAAGCAAUCAUGCAUAUAAGAGAUCAAAGAAACUCAAAUAACUUCCAUGGAUAUAAGAGGAUAGAUUUGAUCAUAAACUCAAAGUUCAUCGAAUCCCAACAAACACACCGCUACAUCAUAUGGAUCUCCAAGAGACCAUUGUAUUGAGAAUUCAGCGACAGAGAGGAAGCCAUCUAGCUACUAACUAUGGACCCGAAUGUCUACAAAGGACUACUCACGCAUCAUCGGGGAGGCACCAAUGGAAGUGGUGAACCCCUCCGUGAUGGUGUCUAGAUUGGAUCUGGUGGUUCUGGACUCUGCGGCGGCUGGAAUUGAUUUUCGCCAACUCCCCUAGGGUUUAUGGAAUAUUGGGGUAUUUAUAGAGCAAAGAGGCGGUCCGGGGGGCACCCGAGGUGGGCACAACCCACCAAGGCGCGCCUGGGCCUCCUGGCGUGCCCUGGUGGGUUGUGCUCCCCUCGGAGCACCCCCCGGGCGCAGUCUUGGCCCAUUAGGUGUCUUUUGGUCCAAAAAAAUCUCUGUAAAGUUUCGUUGCAUUUGGACUCCGUUUGGUAUUGAUUUCCUGCGAUGUAAAAAACAUGCAGAAAACAGCAACUGGCACUUGGCACUAUGUCAAUAGGUUAGUACUAAAAAAUGAUAUAAAAUGACUAUAAAAUGAUUAUAAAACAUCCAAGAUUGAUAAUAUAACAGCAUGGAACAAUAAAAAAUUAUAGAUACGUUGGAGACGUAUCACGAGUGUCCUCUCUAUCAUCUCAUUUCCAAUGUAGAUAAAGAAAGUGCUUCUUUUUGUUAGUAUAUGUUUCAUCAACUAGUCCCAUUGUUAAUGUUUAAGUGUUUCUGCAAAUUAGGGUGCUUAAUUUUAGUUGAUCUGCACAAAAAUAGAGAUUGGAAUGUGUCAAGGCCCUCCUUGUACUACCGCUGUACACUAAUGUUCAUCAAUGGCAGAAGGUGUAUCGGGGAGAAUUCGGUCAAUUUCCAGUAUGAGGCCUAUCGUAUGAGGCGUCGUAGGGCCCAUCUCGCCCUUGCAGCAUGGCAUACUAUGAUACUAUCGCAAUAGUUUCUUCUAUUUAUUAUUGUAUGUUUCAUCAACUAGUGCCACUAUAAUGUAAUCAUGGUUUUUCAUUAUCUGUGCAAACAGGGUUAUUCAGCUGCAUUUUGGUGGAACUACACAAAUGUACGGAUGGAACCGGCAUAUAUGCAGAGUGCGAGGUGCCAAGUAAAAAAUUAC
rnacentral:lncRNA from 1 species